GAUGAGCGCUGGCGGCGUGCUUAACACAUGCAAGUCGCACGAAGCACUUCGAUUUCUUCGGAUUGAGGAGUGACUGAGUGGCGGACGGGUGAGUAACGCGUGGGUAACCUGCCUCAUACAGGGGGAUAACAGUUAGAAAUGGCUGCUAAUACCGCAUAAGCGCACAGUACCGCAUGGUACGGUGUGAAAAACUCCGGUGGUAUGAGAUGGACCGGCGUCUGUUGAGCUAGUUGGUGAUGUAACGGCUCACCAAGGCGACGAUCAGUAGCCGACCUGAGAGGGUGACCGGCCACAUUGGGACUGAGACCCGGCCCAAACUCCUACGGGAGGCAGCAGUGGGGAAUAUUGCACAAUGGGCGAAAGCCUGAUGCAGCGACGCCGCGUGAACGAAGAAGUAUUUCGGUAUGUAAAGUUCUAUCAGCAGGGAAGAAAAUGACGGUACCUGACUAAGAAGCACCGGCUAAAUACGUGCCAGCAGCCGCCGUAAUAC
rnacentral:rRNA from 1 species